AAUAGGUCAUCUUCACUUUUCUUUGUCCCCUCGCCGCUUUCUUCUUCUCUUCUAUUGCUUUCCAUUUCUUCACCUACGAUGUUGCCUUCUUGGACUAAUUCGGCUCUCUGUCUCUUCUUGCUAGGGAUUAUCAACGUGAUGUUGAUGUGUUUCCUGGUUGCUGAUGAAUCAGCUAAUAAGAGUUUCAUGGGUUGUGCUCGUUGUUUUUUACUGUCAAAUCUUGUCUAAAGGAGAAAAGCCUCUUCUUUUGGUAGGUCCUCUGGCUUCCGUUCCUCCUUUUCCUUUUCCUCCGAUAGCUGCUCAUUAUCUUCCUGCAAAUGGUCAUGUGACAGAGUGCAAAGGUAGCUCUGCUCCGCCGCCCUUUAAGAGUGUUGUUGGCUUCCUCCAGGUUUAAUAGUUCCAUUCCUUCAAUUGCCGAGUCUUUUUUGCUGAUUGAAAUAACAUAGGCUAAAUAACAUUUUCUUUUUUUUGUUGCCUUCUGGGCCUUUAAUUAUGUUGCUUAUGAAAAAUUUAGUAUUAUUAUAGCAGACUUCAUCAACCCAAUUAUAUGAGGACAUGUGUGUGUGUAUAUAUAUAUAUUCUACUUUAGUAGAAGCAUGAGUGGAAUAGUUGGUAUCAACAUACCUGUUUUUGGUCAUUAAAAUUUCAGUGAAGGGUAAUUUUGACUUUUCAUUAAAUCAUUGUGUACGUGUCUACUAUCAAGCACUUGAAAAGCCACGUAUUGCUUUUCUAUUUUUUUUAUUCUCUGUAUCUAAAAAUCUUCCAUAACGUUGUUCUUUAACUAAAGAAAACGCCGGUCGCCGGUCGCCAACCAUCGACCACCGAGAUUUUAGAGUUGGUGGGAAAGGAGAUUUGGAAGAAGAUGGGUGAUUGAUUUGUGUAUACCAAAAAUUAUGAGGGUUUUGCUCGAUUUUGAGACCGUCGAGAAGAUGUCCAGGGCUGAAAAUAAGCUCCUAAAGCACGUACGUUGUUGUUGUCUUUUCCUCAGAGUGUUCUACUCAAGUUUUUGUUUCACCCUUCAGGUUAGUUGUUGAUUCAAAUUAUUGAAGCUUAAGUUACCAAAAAAAUAAUUAGUAUCAUAGUUUUAUGAUAAUUAAUGAACUAUUCAGAGGCGAAAAGAACAAUUUUAUUCACUAGACUGACAUUGUUAAUCUUUAGUUUUGUUACUAUAUAGACAAUUUUAGCAUAUACAUUGAUCCUUUUUCAUGUGA